UACGGAGGGUGCAAGCGUUGCUCGGAAUUACUGGGCGUAAAGGGCGUGUAGGCGGUUUCGUAUGUCUGGCGUGAAAGCCCCGGGCUCACCUCGGGAAGUGCGUCGGAAACUGCGAGACUAGAGUCCCGGAGAGGGAGGUGGAAUUCCAGGUGUAGCGGUGAAAUGCGUAGAUAUCUGGAAGAACACCGGUGGCGAAAGCGGCCUCCUGGACGGUGACUGACGCUGAGACGCGAAAGCGUGGGGAGCAAA
rnacentral:rRNA from 1 species